rnacentral:lncRNA from 10 species
AAACAGCCUCUGUCUCAGGUUGGGAGUUGCUGCCAUGGAGACCACAAGAGUGGAGAUUUUCUGACACACAGAAAGGAAUGGAUUACAGCUCCUUCUUAUGUAAAUUUCCAUGGAGGGGAAAAAAGAUUAAAAGGAAAAUAAUUCUGCUUUAGUCGUUUUCCUUUAAGGUGAUAAGAUCCUUUGAUUCCAUCGUGGAGAAGAAGGCAACAGCUGUUUGUCACAAAUGCUAUUUGAUGCACCUGCUAUUAUUACUCUUAUUACCAUUUUCCAGUGGGAAGCUGCUUCUUGGGCAGGGUGGAUUUCCAUCUGCGUCUCCUUUUCGGUGUUGAAAGCUGAUGGGAAAUGUGCCAACGUCACAACAAGGUUUGAGGGAGGCACAUCUCAUGCUCGGACAUGAACACCCGAUCAUCAUGCUUAUGAACUACAAAAGGAUCUCCAGUAUGGGCUCACGGCAGUUGGCCCUUGAAUAACAUGAAUUUGAACUGCCUGAGUCUGCUAAUAUGUGGAUUAUCUUCUGCUUCUGCACCCUGAGACAGCAAGACCAACCCUUCCUCUUGCUUCUUUUCCUUAG